AUUAUUAUUACUGAUCAGUAAA
rnacentral:sRNA from 1 species